UGGGGAAUAUAGGACAAUGGGCGAAAGCCUGAUCCAGCCAUGCCGCGUGUGUGAAGAAGGUCUUCGGAUUGUAAAGCACUUUAAGUUGGGAGGAAGGGCAGUAAGCGAAUACCUUGCUGUUUUGACGUUACCGACAGAAUAAGCACCGGCUAACUCUGUGCCAGCAGCCGCGGUAAUACAGAGGGUGCAAGCGUUAAUCGGAAUUACUGGGCGUAAAGCGCGCGUAGGUGGUUCGUUAAGUUGAAUGUGAAAGCCCCGGGCUCAACCUGGGGACUGCAUCCAAAACUGGCGAGCUAGAGUAGGGCAGAGGGUGGUGGAAUUUCCUGUGUAGCGGUGAAAUGCGUAGAUAUAGGAAGGAACACCAGUGGCGAAGGCGACCACCUGGGCUCAUACUGACACUGAGGUGCGAAAGCGUGGGGAGCAAACAGG
rnacentral:rRNA from 1 species